UACGAAGGGGGCUAGCGUUGCUCGGAAUCACUGGGCGUAAAGGGCGCGUAGGCGGCCAUUCAAGUCAGGGGUGAAAGCCUGUGGCUCAACCACAGAAUUGCCUUUGAUACUGUUUGGCUAGAGACCGGAAGAGGUAAGUGGAACUGCGGGUGUAGCGGUGGAAUGCGUAGAGAUCCGGAAGAACACCGGUGGCGAAGGCGGCCUGCUGGGCAGUAGCUGACACUGAGGCGCGACAGCGUGGGAGCAAACGGG
rnacentral:rRNA from 1 species